GACGAACGCUGGCGGCGUGCCUAAUACAUGCAAGUCGAACGCAGUGGGGACGGGUGAGUAACACGUGGGUAACCUCCCAUCAGAGGGGAUAACACUUGGAAACAGGUGCUAAACCGAUACUGAUGGAUGAACCAGCGGUGCAUUAGCUAGUUGGUGGGGUAACGGCUCACCAAGGCUACGAUGCAUAGCUGACCGGAGAGGGUGAUCGGCCACACUGGGACUGAGACACGGCCCAGACUCCUACGGGAGGCAGCAGUAGGGAAUAUUGGACAAUGGGCGAAAGUCUGACCGAGCCACGCCGCGUGAGUGAAGAAGGUUUUCGGGUCGUAAAGCACUGUUGUUAGGGAAGCGUUACCUAACGAGAAAGCCACGGCUAACUACGUGCCAGCAGCCGCGGUAAUAC
rnacentral:rRNA from 1 species